UUUUCUUCUCCUGCACUGUUGCUCUUCACCUCUCCAUUUCAGAUUUCUUUUCCCCUUUCUUUAAUCCAUGCGGCUGCUGCUUCUCCUCUUCUCCUUCAUUUUAUGUCAUUCUUUCCUCUAUUUUCAUUGAGUUGCCAUUGCAGUGUUCCUUCUUCCUCUCUAUCUUAUUUUCGGAUCUUCCCCUUUGCAAGUCAGCAAACGCCACCACUCAUUCUUCCAUCUUCGGCUGCCGUGAGCUCCACUCGUAUCUUGGUGAUUUUGGUGCUUGCAGUGCAUCUUCUGCUACUGUUUAUUGCCUCUUGAUUUCCCUUGAAUAUUUUUAUGAUUCAGCUGGAGAACAAGAAUAUAAAGUAUUGGAAAGGUUUAAUGAUCAUAGAUGAAUGAGUGCUAAGGGUACAAGAAUUUUGGAAGAUCAUAUUUAGUAAUUUUACCUCAGGCGGUUAUUUCGGUACGUCAAGUUAUGAAUAAUUUGGGUCCUUGUGAAGAUGUUAUUUGUUUUAUUGAAGUUUUUGUUUAGUAUUUUCUGUGGAAGGACACGGAUUUUUGGAUCGAACAAAUAAGUUAAGUAUUUUGUGGAGUUUUUGUUUAUUUAUUAUUUGAUUAUUGGAGAUGUUUUUGAGA